rnacentral:rRNA from 1 species
GGGAGGGCUACCAUGCAGUCGAACGGUAACAGGAAGAAGCUUGCUUCUUUGCUGACGAGUGGCGGACGGGUGAGUAAUGUCUGGGAAACUGCCUGAUGGAGGGGGAUAACUACUGGAAACGGUAGCUAAUACCGCAUAACGUCGCAAGACCAAAGAGGGGGACCUUCGGGCCUCUUGCCAUCGGAUGUGCCCAGAUGGGAUUAGCUAGUAGGUGGGGUAACGGCUCACCUAGGCGACGAUCCCUAGCUGGUCUGAGAGGAUGACCAGCCACACUGGAACUGAGACACGGUCCAGACUCCUACGGGAGGCAGCAGUGGGGAAUAUUGCACAAUGGGCGCAAGCCUGAUGCAGCCAUGCCGCGUGUAUGAAGAAGGCCUUCGGGUUGUAAAGUACUUUCAGCGGGGAGGAAGGGAGUAAAGUUAAUACCUUUGCUCAUUGACGUUACCCGCAGAAGAAGCACCGGCUAACUCCGUGCCAGCAGCCGCGGUAAUACGGAGGGUGCAAGCGUUAAUCGGAAUUACUGGGCGUAAAGCGCACGCAGGCGGUUUGUUAAGUCAGAUGUGAAAUCCCCGGGCUCAACCUGGGAACUGCAUCUGAUAC